rnacentral:rRNA from 1 species
AGAGUUUGAUCCUGGCUCAGGAUGAACGCUAGCUACAGGCUUAACACAUGCAAGUCGAGGGGCAGCAUGGUCUUAGCUUGCUAAGGCCGAUGGCGACCGGCGCACGGGUGAGUAACGCGUAUCCAACCUGCCUUACACUCUUGGACAGCCUUCUGAAAGGGAGAUUAAUACAAGAUGUUAUCAUGAGUAAGCAUUUUCGCAUGAUUAAAGGUUUACCGGUGUAAGAUGGGGAUGCGUUCCAUUAGAUAGUAGGCGGGGUAACGGCCCACCUAGUCUUCGAUGGAUAGGGGUUCUGAGAGGAAGGUCCCCCACAUUGGAACUGAGACACGGUCCAAACUCCUACGGGAGGCAGCAGUGAGGAAUAUUGGUCAAUGGACGAGAGUCUGAACCAGCCAAGUAGCGUGAAGGAUGACUGCCCUAUGGGUUGUAAACUUCUUUUAUACGGGAAUAAAGUGAGGCACGUGUGCCUUUUUGUAUGUACCGUAUGAAUAAGGAUCGGCUAACUCCGUGCCAGCAGCCGCGGUAAUACGGAGGAUCCGAGCGUUAUCCGGAUUUAUUGGGUUUAAAGGGAGCGUAGAUGGAUGUUUAAGUCAGUUGUGAAAGUUUGCGGCUCAACCGUAAAAUUGCAGUUGAUACUGGAUAUCUUGAGUGCAGUUGAGGCAGGCGGAAUUCGUGGUGUAGCGGUGAAAUGCUUAGAUAUCACGAAGAACUCCGAUUGCGAAGGCAGCUUGCUGGACUGUAACUGACGCUGAUGCUCGAAAGUGUGGGUAUCAAACAGGAUUAGAUACCCUGGUAGUCCACACGGUAAACGAUGAAUACUCGCUGUUUGCGAUAUACAGCAAGCGGCCAAGCGAAAGCGUUAAGUAUUCCACCUGGGGAGUACGCCGGCAACGGUGAAACU